AGAACGAACGCUGGCGGCAUGCCUAACACAUGCAAGUCGAACGAACCCUUCGGGGUUAGUGGCGCACGGGUGCGUAACGCGUGGGAAUCUGCCCUUUGCUUCGGAAUAACUCAGGGAAACUUGUGCUAAUACCGGAUGAUGUCGAAAGACCAAAGAUUUAUCGGCAAGGGAUGAGCCCGCGUAGGAUUAGGUAGUUGGUGGGUAAAGGCCUACCAAGCCGACGAUCCUUAGCUGGUCUGAGAGGAUGAUCAGCCACACUGGGACUGAGACACGGCCCAGACUCCUACGGGAGCAGCAGUGGGGAAUAUUGGACAAAUGGGGCGAAAGACGUCGAGUACCACGACGAA
rnacentral:rRNA from 1 species